rnacentral:tRNA from 1 species
GGGCCCGUAGCUCAGCCCGGUCAGAGCGCCCGGCUGAUAACCGGGAGGUCCGGGGUUCAAAUCCCCGCGGGCCCACCA